CUACGGGAGGCAGCAGUAAGGAAUAUUGGUCAAUGGGCGCAAGCCUGAACCAGCCACACCGCGUGAAGGAAGACGGCCCUAUGGGUUGUAAACUUCUUUUAUCAGGGAAGAAACCACCGAACGUGUUCGGUGCUGACGGUACCUGAGGAAUAAGGAUCGGCUAACUCCGUGCCAGCAGCCGCGGUAAUACGGAGGAUCCAAGCGUUAUCCGGAUUUAUUGGGUUUAAAGGGUGCGUAGGUGGAAUUGUAAGUCAGAGGUGAAAUCCAGCAGCUUAACUGUUGAAUUGCCUUUGAUACUGCUAUUCUUGAGUAUAGUUGGAGUUGGCGGAAUGUGACAUGUAGCGGUGAAAUGCGUAGAUAUGUCACAGAACACCGAUCGCGAAGGCAGCUAACUAAGCUAUCACUGACACUGAUGCACGAAAGCGUGGGGAGCAAACAGGAUUAGAAACCCUAGUAGCC
rnacentral:rRNA from 1 species